GAUGAACGCUGGCGGCGUGCCUAAUACAUGCAAGUCGAGCGAACGGACGAGAAGCUUGCUUCUCUGAUGUUAGCGGCGGACGGGUGAGUAACACGUGGAUAACCUACUUAUAAGACUGGGAUAACUUCGGGAAACCGGAGCUAAUACCGGAUAAUAUUUUGAACCGCAUGGUUCAAAAGUGAAAGACGGUCUUGCUGUCACUUAUAGAUGGAUCCGCGCUGCAUUAGCUAGUUGGUAAGGUAACGGCUUACCAAGGCAACGAUGCAUAGCCGACCUGAGAGGGUGAUCGGCCACACUGGAACUGAGACACGGUCCAGACUCCUACGGGAGGCAGCAGUAGGGAAUCUUCCACAAUGGGCGAAAGCCUGACGGAGCAACGCCGCGUGAGUGAUGAAGGUCUUCGGAUCGUAAAACUCUGUUAUUAGGGAAGAACAUAUGUGUAAGUAACUGUGCACAUCUUGACGGUACCUAAUCAGAAAGCCACGGCUAACUA
rnacentral:rRNA from 1 species